rnacentral:snRNA from 1 species
GGGCAAGCCGCUAACACCUCCGCAGCCCCUAAGUAGGGGGCCACGAAAGGGGCAGCCUGUACCCUUCAAAAAAUCGAUCUAGACAGGGUCUAGGGACCGGGUCUCAAACCGGUCUGCUAUUUUCCUUACUCAUUAGUUUAAGGCAU